GGGAUUGCAAUACUAACAGUGAUUCGAUAGCAAUGUCAGUGUUUGUUGUUCUUUGACGGUGCUAUGUAUAUCCAAUGUAAUUAUCGAGUAAAUUGAAUGGUUCUAUUUUUAUGAUUUUUUUUUUUGUCAAGAAGUCUUAGUCGAUAUUGUUUCAUUUUUAUAAACAUUAACCUAGCCAAAUCUAUUUUUAGUCAAAACGUGAGUUACCCUUUAGAUCAU
rnacentral:lncRNA from 1 species